CUUAGUUAAUGAUGAGCUAACUAAGGUUACAAAUGUAACCAUGGUUACAUGCUUGUGACUCUUGAGUUAUGUAACUCUUGCAAGACAUAACUCUUGUAACUCUUGUCUCUUGGGUUAUGUAACUCCUAGAGNNNNNNNNNNNCAUGGUUACAUGCUUGUGACUCUUGAGUUAUGUAACUCUUGCAAGACAUAACUCUUGUAACUCUUGUCUCUUGGGUUAUGUAACUCAUAGAGUUAUAAAUUAGG
rnacentral:lncRNA from 1 species